rnacentral:rRNA from 1 species
GUUGAACGCUGGCGGCAGGCCUAACACAUGCAAGUCGAACGGUAGCACAGAGAGCUUGCUCUCGGGUGACGAGUGGCGGACGGGUGAGUAACGUCUGGGAAACUGCCCGAUGGAGGGGGAUAACUACUGGAAACGGUAGCUAAUACCGCAUAACGUCGCAAGACCAAAGUGGGGGACCUUCGGGCCUCACACCAUCGGAUGUGCCCAGAUGGGAUUAGCUAGUAGGUGGGGUAAUGGCUCACCUAGGCGACGAUCCCUAGCUGGUCUGAGAGGAUGAGCGGCCACACUGGAACUGAGACACGGUCCAGACUACUACGGGAGGCAGCAGUGGGCAGUAUUGCACAAUGGGCGCAAGCCUGAUGCAGCCAUGCCGCGUGUAUGAAGAAGGCCUUCGGGUUGUAAAGUACUUUCAGCGGGGAGGAAGGCGGUGAAGUUAAUAACUUCACCGAUUGACGUUACCCGCAGAAGAAGCACCGGCUAACUCCGUGCCAGCCGCCGCGGUAA